rnacentral:tRNA from 1 species
GUGGUUGUGGCUCAGUGGUAGAGCGCUUGCCUAGCAUGUGUGAGGCACUGGGUUCAAUUCUCAGCAACUCA